rnacentral:rRNA from 1 species
UUAUUUUUCACCCAUGUCUUUUGCGCACUUGUUGUUUCCUGGGCGGGUUCGCCCGCCACCAGGACCACACCAUAAACCUUUUUUAUGCAGUUGCAAUCAGCGUCAGUAAAACAAGUAAUUAAUUUACAACUUUCAACAACGGAUCUCUUGGUUCUGGCAUCGAUGAAGAACGCAGCGAAAUGCGAUACGUAGUGUGAAUUGCAGAAUUCAGUGAAUCAUCGAAUCUUUGAACGCACAUUGCGCCCUUUGGUAUUCCAAAGGGCAUGCCUGUUCGAGCGUCAUUUGUACCCUCAAGCUCUGCUUGGUGUUGGGCGUUUUUGUUAUCCUUUUUGGGGGGUAACUCGCCUUAAAACAAUUGGCAGCCGGCCUACUGGUUUCGGAGCGCAGCACAAUUUUGCGCUUGCAACCAGCAAAAGAGGUUGGCGAUCCAUCAAGUCUACUUUUCUCACUUUUGACCUCGGAUCAGGUAGGGAUACCCGCUGAA